rnacentral:rRNA from 1 species
ACGCGACCCCAGGUCAAGCGGGGCUACCCGCUGAGUUAAGCAUAUCAAUAAGCGGAGGAAAGAAACUAACGAGGAUUCCC